UUGGGGGGAAACGCCGACAAAUAGUUUCAUUUCUCUCUUUCUCUCUCCCCUUCUCUCUCUCGCGUGCUGUGUCUCUGUGUAAAAUUUUCCCGAUACCUCAUUGCCUGGUGCCUUUCCUUAUCCAGGCGACUGCAGCGCAAGGAGGUAUAUGAGAGGGUCUAAUUGGACACGUCCUGAAAUCACUAUGCUAAAUGGCAUCCAGGCGGAUUUUUGCUGAAUUGGCAAAAUGUCCAGGAAAACCCGGAAGUAUGGCAAGUAGAGUUAUUUUUUUUAAC